UACGUAGGGGGCUAGCGUUGUCCGGAUUUAUUGGGCGUAAAGAGCGUGUAGGCGGCCAAGCAAGUCCGACGUGAAAUCUGGAGGCUCAACCUCCAGCGGUCGUUGGAAACUGCUUGGCUAGAGUCCGGAAGAGGAGAGUGGAAUUCCUGGUGUAGCGGUGAAAUGCGCAGAUAUCAGGAAGAACACCAAUGGCGAAAGCAGCUCUCUGGGACGGUACUGACGCUGAGACGCGAAAGCGUGGGGAGCGAACAGG
rnacentral:rRNA from 1 species